UCGUGAUGCAGUUUUCAGGUUUUAUGACAACAAUUCUCCACAUUUUAUUUUACGUCCUCUGCAGGUCUGAUUAUUCUAGGGCAAAAUACAUUGCUCUUUCCAGACCUUUUCAGAUAUUUUUUCAACCGUUUUUGUCUAUGGAAUGAAGCAGCUGUUCCCCAACAACCCAGAGCUGAACAUUUGAUGCCUUUUUAAAAAUCCGCCCUUUUUUCAAACUAAAAUAAUCUGGACUAAUGUAAUCAUCAUAUUGUCAAAGCCCUUUUAUUUGUCACAAGUCACAGCCUAAACUUCAUGUGGGCGGACCCUCGAAUUGAAUCGGAACGUCCGAAGGGAGCCGAAUAUUUCCGAUGUCUGACAAUACAAAGCUGGAAACAGCAGAGAUUUUUCUGAAAGAAACUGGAAAAGGUAAUUCAUCUUUGAAGCAUGAGUCAUCAAUCAGCUGUUCCUGUGCAUAAUCUCCUGAAAAUACACUGGGAAAUCCGGCAACGUCGCGUCAAAUAGUGUAUCGAGCAAAGCCGGAGCCUUAGUGCAGAUGUACUGAAAAGUUCGCGAGUUCAUCGCCUACUAUGUGAACGUCAGGCCGUAGACUGUAAACUAAGCCCGCCACGACAUUCCCAGCCUUUGUUCCAUGAUGAUUCAUUCAUCUGCGAAUAAAGAAUCGCCUCAAUUAUGGUUCAGGAUUAAAGAUUGAAUAUCAGCUCUAUUAUUAUGGCUGUUGGAUUUAUCGUAAUGCGUAAAAUUCAAUUUUAGCAUAAUGUCAGUUUACCUACCUGUUUUGCUUCUUAAAAUCUCGAUAACCUUUCGAUUUCUUCGUAGAUGUUUUUCAAGAGUUGCACAAUUUUCAGACGUAAUUGUAUUGGAAAUAAUAAACAUUAGAAAAAUAG